UACGUAGGGUGCGAGCGUUACUCGGAAUUACUGGGCGUAAAGUGUGCGCAGGCGGCGCCGCAAGUCGAGUGUGAAAGCCCCGGGCUUAACUUGGGAAUUGCGCUCGAAACUAUGGUGCUGGAGUGUGGCAGAGGAAGGUGGAAUUCCACGUGUAGCGGUGAAAUGCGUAGAGAUGUGGAGGAACACCGAUGGCGAAGGCAGCCUUCUGGGCCAACACUGACGCUCAUGCACGAAAGCGUGGGGAGCAAACAGG
rnacentral:rRNA from 1 species